CACUUCAUCUCAACCCGAGUCCUCCCGUCUUCCGAGCUCACACUUGCGGGUCGGGCGAGAAGCUUAAGCUCGCGUGCGGCCCAGUCACCGCGGCCUCGGCUUUCUUGCACGUUCGCUGCUCUUCUCGUGCCACCGGAUCUCCCCCCAUGGCGGCGCCGUCGACCAAGGCUUUGGCUCUCCUCCUCGCGGUGCUCGUCGCGCUCGUGGCGGCGGCGGCGGCCGUGAGGGUGCUGGAGGAGGAGGUGGUCGAGCUGGGUGGCCUCGCCCCUGCUCCCGCGCCGGCGAUGGN
rnacentral:lncRNA from 1 species